rnacentral:rRNA from 1 species
UACAGAGGGGGCAAGCGUUGUUCGGAAUUACUGGGCGUAAAGGGCGCGUAGGCGGCCUGCUAAGUCGAACGUGAAAUCCCUGGGCUCAACCCAGGAACUGCGUCCGAUACUGGUUGGCUUGAAUCCGGGAGAGGGAUGUGGAAUUCCAGGUGUAGCGGUGAAAUGCUUAGAUAUGGCACAGAACACCGAUAGUGAAGACAGCUCACGAAGGCGAAACUGACACUGAGGCACGAAAGCGUGGGGAUCGAACAGG